rnacentral:rRNA from 1 species
GCAUGCCUAACACAUGCAAGUUGGACGAACUUAUAUUAUAAAUAUAAGUUAAGUAGCGGACGGGUGAGUAACAUGUAAGAACCUACCUUUAGGAGGGGGAUAACCGCUGGAAACGGCGGCUAAAACCCCAUAAACUGCGGAGUAAGAGGUGAAAACUACCUAAAGAUGGGCUUGCAUCUGAUUAGCUUGUUGGUGAAUUAACUGUUCACCAAGGCGAUGAUCAGUAGUUGGUCUAAGAGGAUGAUCAACCACACUGGGACUGAGACACGGCCCAGACCUCUACGGAGGGCAGCAGUGAGGAAUUUUCCGCAAUGGGCGAAAGCCUGACGGAGCAAUGCCGCGUGGAUGAUGAAGGCUUUUGAGUCGUAAAGUCCUUUUCUUAGUAAAGAAAAUAGACGGUAGCUAAGGAAUAAGCAUCGGCUAAUUCCGUGCCAGCAGCCGCGGUAAUACGGAAGAUGCAAGCGUUAUUCGGAAUUAUUGGGCGUAAAGCGUCUGUAGGUGGCUUUUUAAGUCUGCUGUUAAAUCUCAAGGCUUAACCUUGAAAAAGCAGUACG